rnacentral:rRNA from 1 species
UGUCCUACGGGAGGCAGCAGUGGGGGAUAUUGGACAAUGGGGGGAACCCUGAUUCAGCGACGCCGCGUGAGUGAAGAAGUAUUUCGGUAUGUAAAGCUCUGUCAGCAGGGAAGAAAGCAAUGACGGUACCUGACCAAGAAGCCCCGGCUAACUACGUGCCAGCAGCCGCGGUAAUACGUAGGGGGCAACCGUUAUCCGGAAUUACUGGGUGUAAAGGGAGCGUAGACGGCUGUGCAAGUCUGGCGUGAAAGGCGGGGGCCGAACC